rnacentral:rRNA from 1 species
UACGGUGAAACUGCGAAUGGCUCAUUAAAUCAGUUAUCGUUUAUUUGAUAGUACCUUACUACAUGGAUACCUGUGGUAAUUCUAGAGCUAAUACAUGCUAAAAACCCCGACUUCGGGAGGGGUGUAUUUAUUAGAUAAAAAACCAAUGCCCUUCGGGGCUCCUUGGUGAAUCAUAAUAACUCAACGAAUCGCAUGGCCUUGCGCCGGCGAUGGUUCAUUCAAAUUUCUGCCCUAUCAACUUUCGAUGGUAGGAUAGUGGCCUACCAUGGUAGCAACGGGUAACGGGGAAUUAGGGUUCUAUUCCGGAGAGGGAGCCUGAGAAACGGCUACCACAUCCAAGGAAGGCAGCAGGCGCGCAAAUUACCCAAUCCCGAUUCGGGGAGGUAGUGACAAUAAAUACUGAUACAGGGCUCUUUUGGGUCUUGUAAUUGGAAUGAGUACAAUUUAAAUCCCUUAACGAGGAACAAUUGGAGGGCAAGUCUGGUGCCAGCAGCCGCGGUAAUUCCAGCUCCAAUAGCGUAUAUUAAAGUUGUUGCAGUUAAAAAGCUCGUAGUUGAACCUUGGGCCUGGCUGGCCGGUCCGCCUCACCGCGUGUACUGGUCCGGCCGGGCCUUUCCUUCUGGGGAGCCGCAUGCCCUUCACUGGGCGUGCCGGGGAACCAGGACUUUUACUGUGAAAAAAUUAGAGUGUUCAAAGCAGGCCUUUGCUCGAAUACAUUAGCAUGGAAUAAUAGAAUAGGACGUGCGGUUCUAUUUUGUUGGUUUCUAGGGCCGCCGUAAUGAUUAAUAGGGAUAGUCGGGGGCAUUAGUAUUCAAUUGUCAGAGGUGAAAUUCUUGGAUUUAUUGAAGACUAACUACUGCGAAAGCAUUUGCCAAGGAUGUUUUCAUUAAUCAGUGAACGAAAGUUAGGGGAUCGAAGACGAUCAGAUACCGUCGUAGUCUUAACCAUAAACUAUGCCGACUAGGGAUCGGUGGGUGUUACUGUUAUGACCCCAUCGGCACCUUACGAGAAAUCAAAGUUUUUGGGUUCUUGG